AAAGUUAGAGGUUCGAAGGCGAUCAGAUACCGCCCUAGUUCUAACCAUAAACGAUGCCAGCCAGCGAUCCGGCUGUGUUCCUCAAAUGACACGCCGCGCAGCUUCCGGGAAACCAAAGCUUUUGGGUUCCGGGGGAAGUAUGGUUGCAAAGCUGAAACUUAAAGGAAUUGACGGAAGGGCACCACCAGGAAUGGAGCCUGCGGCUUAAUUUGACUCAACACGGGAAAACUUACCCGGCCCGGACACAGGAAGGAUUGACAGAUUAAGAGCUCUUUCUUGAUUCUGUGGCAGGUGGUGCAUGGCCGUUUUUAGUUGGUGGAGCGAUUUGUCUGGUCAAUUCCGAUAACGAACGAGACUCUAGCCUACUAAAUAGACGUUCCGAUCCUUAGUCGGACGUUCUUCUUAGAGGGACAAGCGGCGUUUAGCUGCACGAGACAGAGCAAAAACAGGUCUGUUAUGCCCUUAGAUGUCCGGGGCCGCACGCGCGCUACAUUGAAGGAAUCAACGUGUGCUUUCCCUUUCAGACAUGAAUGGGUAACCCGUUGAACCUCCUUCGUGCUGGGGAUUGGAGAUUGUAAUUGUUCUCCAUGAACGAGGAAUUCCCAGUAAGCACGAGUCAUUAGCUUGUGUUGAUUACGUCCCUGCCCUUUGUCCACACCGCCCGUCGCUAAUACCGAUUGAAUGAUUUAGUGAGGUUUUUGGAUUGGCUGUUCGUAGCGGGACGCAAUGUCCCGCGCCGGCGUGCUGAAAAGAUAACCAAACUUGAUCAUU
rnacentral:rRNA from 1 species